rnacentral:tRNA from 1 species
GGGGUUAUAGCUCAGUGGUAGAGUGCUUGCCUAUUAUGCAAAAGGCUUGGUUGGACACCAGUGGCUCAA